UGCCCUCAGGAGGGGGAUAACGGCUGGAAACGGCCGCUAAUACCCCAUAUGCCGAGAGGUGAAAUGAAUUUCGCCUGAGGAUGAGCUCGCGUCUGAUUAGCUAGUUGGUGAGGUAAUGGCUCACCAAGGCUUCGAUCAGUAGCUGGUCUGAGAGGAUGAUCAGCCACACUGGGACUGAGACACGGCCCAGACUCCUACGGGAGGCAGCAGUGGGGAAUUUUCCGCAAUGGGCGAAAGCCUGACGGAGCAACGCCGCGUGAGGGAUGAAGGCCUCUGGGCUGUAAACCUCUUUUAUCAAGGAAGAAGAUCUGACGGUACUUGAUGAAUAAGCCACGGCUAAUUCCGUGCCAGCAGCCGCGGUAAUACGGGAGUGGCAAGCGUUAUCCGGAAUUAUUGGGCGUAAAGCGUCCGCAGGCGGUUUUGAAAGUCUGUUGUUAAAGCGUGGAGCUUAACUCCAUUUCAGCAAUGGAAACUACAAGACUAGAGUGUGGUAGGGGCAGAGGGAAUUCCCGGUGUAGCGGUGAAAUGCGUAGAUAUCGGGAAGAACACCAGUGGCGAAGGCGCUCUGCUGGGCCAUAACUGACGCUCAUGGACGAAAGCCAGGGGAGCGAAAGGGAUUAGAUACCCCUGUAGUCCUGGCCGUAAACGAUGAACACUAGGUGUCGGGGGAAUCGACCCCCUCGGUGUCGUAGCCAACGCGUUAAGUGUUCCGCCUGGGGAGUACGCACGCAAGUGUGAAACUCAAAGGAAUUGACGGGGGCCCGCACAAGCGGUGGAGUAUGUGGUUUAAUUCGAUGCAACGCGAAGAACCUUACCAGGGUUUGACAUCCUGCGAAUCCCUUGGAAACUUGGGAGUGCCUUCGGGAGCGCAGUGACAGGUGGUGCAUGGCUGUCGUCAGCUCGUGUCGUGAGAUGUUGGGUUAAGUCCCGCAACGAGCGCAACCCACGUCUUUAGUUGCCAGCAUUUAGUUGGGCACUCUAGAGAGACUGCCGGUGAUAAACCGGAGGAAGGUGUGGAUGACGUCAAGUCAUCAUGCCCCUUACAUCCUGGGCUACACACGUACUACAAUGCUACGGACAAAGGGCAGCAAACUCGCGAGAGCUAGCAAAUCCCAUAAACCGUGGCUCAGUUCAGAUCGUAGGCUGCAACUCGCCUACGUGAAGGAGGAAUCGCUAGUAAUCGCAGGUCAGCAUACUGCGGUGAAUACGUUCCCGGGCCUUGUACACACCGCCCGUCACACCAUGGAAGUUGGCCACGCCCGAAGUCGUUACUCCAACCCUUGUGGAGGAGGAUGCCGAAGGUGGGGCUGAUGACUGGGGUGAAGUCGUAACAAGGUAGCCGUACCGGAAGGUGC
rnacentral:rRNA from 1 species